UAACUGUAACAUGCGAUGGCUCCCUGCUCUCCUGGAGAUAGCUGAACAUCUGCCUGCUCAUGGGGAACACCAAAUUAAUUCUUUCUUUUGCUUUGUUUGUGCAUGUGGCUUUUGCUUUCACUACUAAAAUGUCUUCAUCUCAACCCAUGAGUUUUCUGGCUUUUAUCCUUCCUGUUUGCUCCCUGAUCUUACAGAGAGCCAAUAAUAUCCUGGGAUGCAUCAAAAGAAGCAUGACCAGCAAGCUGAGGGAGGUGGUUUUGUCCCUAUACUCUCGUCUCUGAUUCAAGUUAUUAAAAUGAAAGGAAGACCUUCUCUGCAAUAAGAGAAGAUAUUGCAUUUUAAGGAAGACAGUCUGAAGGUGAAAACUGGAUACCUUAAAUUGAAAGACAAAAGUCCUACAUGAUUUAAAAGCAGGAGGAUUUAAUCAUGAAUGUCAGAAAAAUUUGUCCCACAGGUUACUGAAUAUAUUGCAUGCAGUUAUGAAGAAGAAAUAAUAGUUCAAGGUGCGCGUUAUUUUAGCGGGUAUGCACAAUGGAUUUUUAUC